rnacentral:rRNA from 1 species
AACGAACGCUGGCGGCAGGCUUAACACAUGCAAGUCGAACGCCCCGCAAGGGGAGUGGCAGACGGGUGAGUAACGCGUGGGAAUCUACCGUACCCUACGGAACAACAGUUGGAAACGACUGCUAAUACCGUAUACGCCCUACGGGGGCAAGAUUUAUCGGGGUGUGAUGAGCCCGCGUUGGAUUAGCUAGUUGGUGGGGUAAAGGCCUACCAAGGCGACGAUCCAUAGCUGGUCUGAGAGGAUGAUCAGCCACAUUGGGACUGAGACACGGCCCAAACUCCUACGGGAGGCAGAGGUGGGGAAGAUUGGACAAUGGGCGCAAGCCUGAUCCAGCCAUGCCGCGUGAGUGAUGAAGGACUUAGGAUUGUAAAGCUCUUUCACCGGAGAAGAUAAUGACGGUAUCCGGAGAAGAAGCCCCGGCUAACUUCGUGCCAGCAGCCGCCGUAA